CUCCUCUCUACUAAUUAAUUAAUAUACAAGUAAGUACUAAUAAGCCUGAACCGGGCCGGUCCGGUACAGAGAAUGAUCAAUUGUAGUAAACCGAGAUCGGCAAUUACAUACAUUGGGGGAAGGAAGGAAGAAGGCGAAUUAGAAAGGAGAAAGCGUUUCUUCUAGAUCCAUGGAUUCGUCGUCCAUCACAAGAAGAAGAAGAAGAAGAAGAAGCUAAGAAGAAAGCUUCGAGAUUUCAAAUCCAUAAUAAUUCAGGGCUUUGAUUGAUUUGCUACCAAGUUGUUUAAUUGAUGAUCAGAGAGAUCUGUUUUUAGUCUUCUUCAUUCGCAAAUAUCUGGAAUCAUCAUCAAAGCUCUCUCUUGUGCUUAGCUAAUGUGUGUGUUCUUGAGCCCAUCAUCAUAAUGAUGAGUGACUCUCAGCGAUCACUUUCUGUGCGCUUGAGCCGCCGGGGUGAAAGGACCUCUCUUCAUUACCCUCAAUCUAAAGAUGAUGGAGAGGCAGGGUUCUUCUCUCCGUCCAGACUUCACACUGACUACACUUU